GGCUUAGUAGUCUGGUGGAAUUUAUAUUCGACAAUAUGACCGACGCUUCGCCCAUUUAGCUGGACAUUUCAUAUUAUUUAACACAUAAACAUUACAUCACAUAAACAUCAUUCCGUUUAAGGUAUUUUAUUAUUUGGAGUAGUUGAAAGCUGAAAGCUCAAGUGAGCUUUUCUGAUCACAUUUUGUCCGUCGUCCGUCUGUCUGUCUGUCUAUCUGUCUGUCCGUCUGUAAACUUUUCACAUUUUGAACUUCUUCUCUAAUACCACUUAACCAAAUUCAACCAAAUUUGGCUCAAAGCAUUCUUAUGGAUAGAUGAAUAUAAAUUGCAGAAAUGAAAGAAAAAUUUUCAUUGAAAGCGGAGAAAACCUCAAAACUUUAAAAAAAAAAAUGGGGGGGGGUGCAAAAUAUGUUCUUCCCAAGAACUACUGAGGCAAAUUCAACGUGAUUUAGCAUGAAUAAUCCUUAUGGGAAGGAAAAUAUAAAUUGCAAAAAUUAUGGGCUAAUUCUGUUUCUAAUCUGAGUUAUUACGAAAAUAAUAAGAAAGAAAAUGCGUGUUUCAAGCAAUUUAUAGCAUCCAUGAGUUUUGGUAAAAUGGGUAGGCAUGACCGGGCCAGGGCAAAACAAAAGAUUGACAGUUAUUAAUCUGCCAAUUUCAUUAAAAUUUCAAGAUAUUUCCUGACCAGUAUAUAUGUAUUCGCUGUAAAUAUUGCUGCAAAAUAAUGCGUAAUUGGAAUUGACGAUUGCCGAUCUGCCCCGGCUUUUAUUUUGCCCGGCCCGGGUUUGCCUACCCAUUUUACCAAGACUCGUUUUCCAUAACUCUAAAACGAGGUUCCAUGUUUAAAGGAGCCAUGACACUAUAUGAUAAACGGGUCGAUCUGACAAUGAUUAAUUUGUUUGUUGUGAACAGUUCGUGUACGAAGGGAAUCUUUGAAACAUGCAAAAUACAUUGGUGCCGAUUUUGUGAAGUAAAUUGAGGCUAAAUAUCUCAAUGCAUUGACAGUUUUCACAUAUGAAUGUGGUGUUAGCUUGUUGUGAUUUUCGUAUCGUUUUCAUUUAUGCUUUGCGUUAACCUGGGAACUGUCGCUUGUAUUUCCUGAUUUUUACGUAUCAAAUCAAACAGAGACUUCGGUAAAUCAAACAGUUUACUGUUUACCUGCUCAAAUUAAGCAGCAUCUGAUGUAUUAAGAAAAAACUAAAAUGCAAUUCAAUCAGUCUAUCGGUAUUUCGGUAUCAUCUUUUGCGAAAUGGUAGAAUAAUGCAAUAUAUUUUAUUGAAUGCUCGGCAUUUUCUCGAGUUUAUUCAGUUUAAAUAGAGUUUAAUAUUGCUGACGGAAAUAUGUAGUAAAUGUAUAUGAUUCAUUUUGAAAAAUAAAUUGUGUUCUUUAUUUGUC
rnacentral:sRNA from 1 species